rnacentral:lncRNA from 1 species
UCCGUUUUUAUCUUGCAUAGACCAUCUAAAGGGUGUUGUCCCCUCACCCAGCCCCCAUUUUUUGAAACCUAUUUUCAGUGCUUUUAAUGUUACCUGAGAUAAGAGGAUGCACCUCUUCAGGUCUGAUUUCAUAUUAUUUCUCAGAUACUGAUAGGGCAUCAUUCUCAUAAAUGACAAAUAGGAGUUAUAAACUGUUUGCAAUUUGGGAAGGGUCGGCUUAGGGAUUGUUCUGAUGGCGAAAUGAUUUGUCAACAGUCCUAAAUUAUGCGAAGUUCUUCGCCUUCCACUUUCCCUUAGCGCUUUUUUCCUUUCUCCCACCGAGAUGUAAUAGAAACUAAUCUUCAACAUCGAAACAUUCCAAGCCGGUCCUUUUGUGCAGGCAUCUCGCUCUCCCGGGGGCUCGGUGCAGAGCGGCGGGGAGGACGCUUCUCUUUACGCUCACGGGCCCCCGCUGCUCGGACCCCGGCCCGCAGACAGGCCAUCCAUCACCCGCCUCCUCCCGCCGCGCGCGGCCGCCGCGGCCAAUCGGGCGGCAGGUGGGGUCGCACCUGCCGGACAGCCCGCCGCUGCCCUCCUGCUCUCCGCGCCGCGCCUCCCAGGCUGGAGGCGCCCUCGUGAGCCCCCGCGUUCUCCAAGGCCAGAACAGACAGUUGAGGAUGGUCUUACUUCUCCAUGUUCUGAAACCAGUUUAAACAAAAACAAAAACCAGACAACAACCUCGCAAGGAGCUCAGGGUAAACAAACAGCCUUUUUCUGGAAAGUAAAAUGUUUCCCCAAGGUAAGUUACUUUUCCAAAGGAAUUACAGUCUAUCUCAAUGUUGAAUAGUAGGCGUUUUCUACUGGUCUGAUUAAUGUUUAGGAAAAAACAGAUUCUUGAAAAUUAGCCUAUUGUAUAAUUAUGUG